AAAAGACGGGAAAUAGUCCAACAGUUGAACUGCACUGAGUAGUUUAAUGCUGCCCUUUUAACAGCUGGAAAUUUCUCAUGGAAUGGCUUCAGCAACUCCUCAACUUGCAAAAAAGAAAUCCUUCAGGAAGCUUCUGCCUUAUGAGCAAUUCAUAACUCUUAGCAAAGUUGGAUCAAAAAAAAUGUACUACAUGCCUAUGAGUCAUCCUUAAAAUACUGGUAUUUUCUUCAAUAAGCUUCUGUAAUGGGGAAAAAAAUUAUCAUUCCACACAAGCUUCUGAGACCUGUUAUCACUUUGCAGAUUGAAUAACCCUUGGAGACAAGGCAAUCUACUGGCUAGACAGCCUGGAAACAGCUUCCAGACCAAUCGGCUGCCUGGAAACAGUCUUUGGCCCAAUCACCCACCUAGAAACAGUACCUGCACCAAUCGCUGUCUUCUAAGAACUGUUUCUCCUAAAAUCUGCCACUGCCGCCUUACAAACCAAAACCAGAGAAAGAAAACAUACCUGAAUUAUUUCUACACUGACCUCAUAUGUCCCAGCCCAUCGGUGGCCUGUCUGACAAGUGCUUGGAGCUCCAUGCCCCUCAGUGGAAUUCAUUCUAUAUCGAAUAAUUUUUUAGCCACGUCACAUCCUUUGUGGAAAGAGAAGGUGUGUGGAAGGCGGUACUUAGAUGACCUCAUGAUUUCUCAGAGCCCAUGUUCUUCUCUGGAUCACCACCGCUUGGACUGCAAGGUUGCAAGUUUUGUCUUGUAUCUGAGCGGCCAAUCACAAGGUCUGCUUUCCUGGUUCUUCUCCUUCCCCAACUCCCAUGGCGGGCAUGAACUACUCUUGCAUCAUAUCUACCUUCUUACCAAGAUGGAAUGUGUCAACACCUACUUCCCAGAGGCCUACUGGCAGAAUGGCUACUUGGAAACAUAAUUUACAGGAUAGAGGAAAACACGCACAUACACCCACACUCACACCCUUUAUCACAUUAUUUCCCUUUAUCAUGGUCUGUUGUCUGAAUAUCGCCUUUGGUAACCCUGUGGGAAAAGAACCUGAAAUUUGGGAUUACCUCAAAUACUUUAUAAAGUCAAGCUCUUACAGGUAAUUUCUAGUGUAACUUCUACAUACGGUUUUCUUUCUCAUUAUACUCUUUUAUACUCUCCUUAUAUAACCCAGUAAAAUGUUCAGGAA
rnacentral:lncRNA from 1 species